rnacentral:rRNA from 6 species
GACCCCAGGUCAGGCGGGAUUACCCGC